rnacentral:snRNA from 1 species
GGAUGUGGGGGUGAUCUGGCUGCAAUGUGUCACCCCGCUGGUCACCAGGGUUGACUUGGCGGACCUGGCUGGCUAGGCGGCUGUCCCCUUCCUCUCUCAGCCCUCCGUGUGUCCCUCCUGAAGCUGUGUGCUUGGCCGAUGAGCACAACCACCCCCGAUAGAGAAGGACCGUCCCUGGGUCAAAGGUAUAGGAGUAGCUGCGCUUCUCCACUAGAAUCUCCACACAAGCUCUCAGUAAGCAUCAUUCUGUAUUCUUAUGAGAUUUCACUUUGGAAAUAGAAUUUAAUUAGAUGAAAAUGAAGAAUAAGAAGGAAGAAUGAUU